GAACGGUAACAUAAAAGUGCUUGCACUUUGCUGACGAGUGGCGCACGGGUGCGCAACGCGUAUAGAACCUACCCUGUACAGGGGGAUAGCCCGGAGAAAUCCGGAUUAAUACCCCGUAGUAAUUAGAUUUGGCAUCGGAUUUAAUUUAAAGCUUCGGCGGUACAGGAUGGCUAUGCGUCCUAUUAGCCAGAUGGUGAGGUAACGGCUCACCAUAGCUAUGAUAGGUAGGGGCCCUGAGAGGGGGAUCCCCCACACUGGUACUGAGACACGGACCAGACUCCUACGGGAGGCAGCAGUGAGGAAUAUUGGACAAUGGGCACACGCCUGAUCCAGCCAUGCCGCGUGCAGGAAGACGGCCCUAUGGGUUGUAAACUGCUUUUAUACGGGAAGAAUAAGGGGUACGUGUACCCUGGUGACGGUACCGUAAGAAUAAGGACCGGCUAACUCCGUGCCAGCAGCCGCGGUAAUACGGAGGGUCCGAGCGUUAUCCGGAAUUAUUGGGUUUAAAGGGUCCGCAGGCGGGCGAUUAAGUCAGGGGUGAAAUGGUACGGCUCAACCGUAGCACUGCCCUUGAUACUGGUUGCCUUGAGUCAUAGUGGAGUGGCCGGAAUAUGUAGUGUAGCGGUGAAAUGCAUAGAUAUUACAUAGAACANCGAUCGCGAANGCAGGUCACUACUAUCGACUGACGCUGAUGGNACGAAAGCGUGGGGAGCGAACGGNAUUANAUACCCCGGGUAGUCCNCGCCGUAACGAUGGAUACUAGCUGUCCGCU
rnacentral:rRNA from 1 species